rnacentral:rRNA from 1 species
UAUGGGGGGAGCAAGCGUUGUUCGGAUUUACUGGGCGUAAAGGGCGCGUAGGCGGCGCAACAAGUCACUUGUGAAAUCUCCGGGCUUAACCCGGAGCGGUCAAGUGAUACUGUCGUGCUAGAGUGCGGAAGGGGCUACUGGAAUUCUCGGUGUAGCGGUGAAAUGCGUAGAUAUCGAGAGGAACACCUGCGGCGAAGGCGGGUAGCUGGGCCGACACUGACGCUGAUGCGCGAAAGCCAGGGGAGCGAACGGG